rnacentral:rRNA from 1 species
UACGUAGGGGGCUAGCGUUGCUCGGAAUCACUGGGCGUAAAGCGCACGUAGGCGGAUUGCUAAGUCAGGGGUGAAAUCCUGGAGCUCAACUCCAGAACUGCCUUUGAUACUGCAAAUCUCGAGUCCGGAAGAGGUGAGUGGAAUUCCUAGUGUAGAGGUGAAAUUCGUAGAUAUUAGGAAGAACACCAGUGGCGAAGGCGGCUCACUGGUCCGGUACUGACGCUGAGGUGCGAAAGCGUGGGGAGCAAACAGG